GGUUUGAUCGUAUAAAGGCUAGUACACAAGAUUCUGAUCUGUUAGUUCUUGUAAUCUGGGUUCGAUUCCCAGUCAGACCU